UACGGAAGGCAGCAGUGGGGAAUAUUGCACAAUGGGCGAAAGCCUGAUGCAGCUAUGCCGCGUGUAUGAAGAAGGCCUUAGGGUUGUAAAGUACUUUCAUCGGGGAGGAAAAACAAAACUAAUAAUUUUAUUUCUUGACGUUACCCGAAAAAGAAGCACCGGCUAACUCCGUGCCAGCAGCCGCGGUAAUACGGAGGGUGCUAGCGUUAAUCAGAAUUACUGGGCGUAAAGAGCACGUAGGUGGUUUUUUUAAGUCAGAUGUGAAAUCCCUGGGCUUAACCUAGGAACUGCAUUUUGAAACUGAAAUACUAGAGUAUCGUAGAGGGAGGUAGAAUUCUAGGUGUAGCGGUGAAAUGCGUAGAUAUCUGGAGGAAUACCUGUGGCGAAAGCGGCCUCCUAAACGAAUACUGACACUGAGGGUGCGAAAGCGUGGGGGAGCAAACCAGGGAUUAGAUACC
rnacentral:rRNA from 1 species